ensembl:lncRNA
UGCGAGGGGCGGAGCUUCCAGGAGUCAACCCUGCCUUCUCUUGGGCUUGGGGGCGGGCCCUAUUCUGAUUGGAUAUAUGAGACUGUCCAUCCUGGACUCAUCGGUCGACGGAACUGACGCUCUAGGGCGGAGGUUUGGUGCCUCCUAGAGAGAGGCCGAAGGAGCUAAGGGUCAGGAGACCGAUUCCGGAAAACUUAAUUGCUGUGCUGGCGCAGCUCUUCCUCCCUUUCUUGCUCUAGAGUAGGUCCCGGGGCUGGUCGGCCUGGGUAUUUAGAGAGAAACUUGGGUAGGGUGUUGCAGUGGUGGCCAUAUUUUAACCUGGCAAAAAGGGCGCAUGAAAGUGGCGUAGUUGCUGUCCUCAGCCCAGGUUUCCACCAGGGGAAGGCCCAGGCGGUUACCCUGAACCAGGGGAAGGCCCAGGCGGUUACCCUGAUAACGGGGUACAGAGGCAUCCUGGGAAGGACGGAGGCUAGGGCUAGAAGUACUUCGUUCUAACUUCAGGACACCAUAUGUCAGUAACUUUGGAGUUGGAUCUACGGUAUUUGGACAGGAAAAUUCCAAGUCAUCAGAAUGGGAGGGAAAUUGGAUCGUCUAGGGUCUCUUCGCGGAGAAGGCAAUGGCAUCCCACUCCAGUACUCUUGCCUGAAAAAUCCAUGGACGGAGGAGCCUGUCGACAGCCAGCACUUUCCAAAAUCACAGUGCUGAUCAUGCUCCUAGCCCACUGGAGAACGUACAAUGGCUUGUCUUCAUCUACAUCUACAAAAUAAGGUCCAGCCUGUUCAUUGCAGCAAACUAGACCCUUCACAAUUUGACCAGCCUCACCUUUACACCUUAUGUCUUACAGCCCCCGUUUGUCUGCUGUUCUGUACUCCUAUGUUCAGUUCCACCAUUCAGCCCCCUUUCUUUGGAAUGGGGAAUCUUGAUUUUACCACUUUCUAACUCUAUGAUCUCAGGCAAGUCAUUUAAUUUCUGAGUCUCAGUUUCCUCUGCUGUCAGAAACGAGUAUAU